rfam:Hepacivirus C isolate sP161684 polyprotein gene, complete cds
CAACAGAGUGGCGGGGGUUCUCAGGAAGCUUGGGAUCCCCCCCCUAC